rnacentral:lncRNA from 13 species
GCCCUUCCUAUCUCUGUGGAUUUGUUUGUUCUGAACAUUCCACGUGAUCAGAAUCAGACCUCCUAUGUUUGUGAAAUGGGGGUCCCAGGUUGCCAUCUCCUAUUUAUGAGCAGGGCACUCAAGGCCAAGGGGUGCCCCCAAGGAGCUUGGGAAGAAUAUGAUGAGUGUGGGGUACCUGUGGGGCCCAUGGAGGCCAUGUCAUUAGGGACCUCCAAUGUCCGCACAUUUGGGCAUUUCUUCUUGGACUCCAGUUCCCCAUGGUGGGUUCUUCGUCUCCCUGCCUGGAGGCUGGAGGCUGGAGGUCCAGGGCUAAUGUUCUGAGAGUAAGCGGGUGGCGAAGGCCUAGUUGGAGGAGGUACCAACCUCCAUGCUGAAUAAGGCACACUCGUUCAAUUCCCUGCUUUCUGCACAGACCCCAGCCUGGCUGGGCUCCAGAGACCCCAGUGCCAGCCUUUCAGAGAAUGAACGAGCCUCCAUCUGCUGCCAAAGUAGGGGCGCCUGGCUGUCUGCAGCGCUGGAAGGAGCUGAGGCCCUGCUUCUCCCCACUCCUGGAAGCACCUGGUGCUGCCCAUUCCUGAGCGUUUAGGGGUUAUCUGCCCAUUGAGGGAUGGAGUUUUCCUGUCCUCUCCCAGGGGUGUGUUAGGAUUCAGCUUCCCGGGGAGAGUGGGGCAAGGUUGGUUAACCCUCCUCCAGGGGCCUGUAGUUUCCCAACUUAUCUGCAGUUUCUACUUCUCUUGUUGGAUUCCCAGGUUUGUGCCUUAAACAAAGUCCCUUCAGUAUCAUCUAGUGAUGCUUCAGGAAGGAGCCCCCUGCUGCUCCCCACAACAGCCUCGGCUUUGACGACACCAUCCCUCUCCCCAUGCCUGCUGGCACCCACUCCUAAUGCAGAGAGGCAGAGCGUGCCUCCAAGAACAAGGACUGUCUGCUCCGACCUUGAUGCCGCCCACACCGUCACCAGCUGAAUGAUCCCAGGAGCCCUGGGGACACAGGAUGGACUGGAGGACAAAGAUGCCCCCUCUCUGCUUCACUUCACUCUGUUUUACUGCAUUUAUUCUCCUGUGCUCUGCAGUGUUACCGCCAAUGCUUUAAUUGCUUGGAAAACAAAUCAGUGGUCACCUGUGUUUGCCGGCCACAGAAAUGGCCAGUCCUCACCUGAGCCGAGCAGGAGCAGUUAUACAGCAAGGAGGCCAAGGUUCCCUCAUCCCCGGCCUAGAGUCAACCGCCCGGCACCUGCCCCCAACUCAGCCUUGUCCUCGGGAAGGGGUCACGCUUCAGAUGCCUGAUCCGGCUCAGAUCUCAGGGCAGUCCUGGGGGAGGUGAACUCACCCUCCCCCAUGAUACCCUCGCCAUGUCAGAGGUCAGAGGGCAUGGCAUGGGAUUUAAGCCAAUCACCAGCUCACAAUUCUACAGACAAUUAUCUCGGAUUCGAGUUAAAAGGCCAGCCAGGCCAGAACCCAGUCACCACACAUUCCUCUGCUAAUGUGUCGCUUCUUGGAAAUGCACAAACCAAUAAAGCAAAAAGCAUGCCCCA